UUUGAGAAGGGUCAGUGCUAUCCGGGAUCAUUGGGAAGUCCCUACAUCAUUGAAGUGGACAUUUAAAACGGUUAAUGGUAAGGUUAAGGUGAGGGUUUAGUGUAGGGACGUCCCAAGGACCCCGGAUAGCAUUGGCCGUUUGAGAAGUGCGCUCCUCUCACUGCUUUUGCCGGUUCACUGUAACGGGCCAUAGACCUGUGCACCGCAUAUCAGGUUAAUAGAACGGCCUCAAAAGCGAUUAAGGAAAGUUUCCAACCGUGUCACGGCGGUCAAAGCACCUAUUUCCCCUAAAACCUUUGUCGCGUUAAAAAAAAAAAAGGCAAUUCGGAUGCAUCCGUCUUCAGUGCGUCCACGACAACUGGGAACUCGGAAAGAAAUAGCUCCGACUGAGUAAAAUCGUUUUGAACGGUCAUCCAAAGAAAAUCACUGACGUCAUGAUUUGACCACGUUUUGUACGAGUUACCAGUUGACUUGAAAGCACCAUACAUUCUCGGAGCUACACUAGAGGACACGGUUAUCGGUAAUAUUACAGCAACAAAGCCAUCCGGACGCGUGGAGGCAAACUGAGAAUGACUACCACAUGAGCGAGAAUACCGGGGAGAGGCUCAUUUAACGGUAUUUCUCCGGUAUAGGCUAAGCGGUAGAGUCUACAGACAAAAAUAGAAGACAAUAUGAUAAGCAGAUCAUCUUUUGCUGACUCGAAUAUUCUACACACUGUCAGUCAACAACAAUAGAAUGUAGUUUUAUAUGUCCUAUUCUCUUCACGUUUCCUGCUAUUGUUCAGUAACAACGAUACUACUGCUGCUGACUCGUCCUCUGGCUUUGCAGCAUCCAAAGCAGAUCACUCAGGGGAUGAGGGCUCUUUGGCGCAGUCCGUGAGAGAUGAGGUGAAAGCUGGAUUAGUUAAAUAAGGACCCUCGGUAAAUCUUACGGAGAAACAGGGGACAGUAGCGGGGCUAACCUCUGCGGACAAACCGGAGGAGGACAGUGAAUGCCGAUUCGUGGGGAAGAUAACGGAUCCGGUGGCAGCGGACAGGAGGACAGUUUGGGAGGAGGGGAUCCACGCUGCUGAAGUUAGGAUCCACGCUGGCGCGCACGAGGAAAAUGUGAAAUCUGGCAUGUCUGGCCAACAGUGCUGUAACUCAAAUCCUGCCUCAGCGCCGGUGGACAUUCCAUGAAGUGACUUUGGUCACCUACAGUUCCCUGAGGGGUGGUCUUUUCUCUUAGCAGAUAUGGAAGAAGUGGACGCAGAAUAUGCGCCCAUGAAAUACGCCCCCAGGAUGCUGCGGACCAGACAGAUGGAGAUGAUGAAGAGCUGGAGAAGGAACAGAGGUCUGUACUGGACUGGACAGCAUCUCAAUACUCUGACGUGGCUUCCUCUCCUAGUCUCCUCUUCUUUCCACUUAUUUAAGUGCCACUGCUUACCAGCAGUAACUGGCCAUGUCCGAAUAGCCAUACUUGCGUUCUAAAUAGUAUGCUUUUUGGGUAUGCCAAAAUAUGUUUUAUAGGAUGUGAGAUUUAGAAAAUGUAGUAAACUUUAAAGGACAGGAUGUCAUAGUAAUUUCAGCUUUUCAUCUCGUAGAAUUAGCUGCACACUAUUGAGGAAGACAAUAGUAUUUUGAGACCCACAUGCGUUUGACAACAGCUAAUUAUCCGAAUAGUGAAUGCGCUCUACCAAAAUGAACGAAUGGCGGGGAACAAGCGCCAUUUUGUAUUACACGACGCCUUCUCAGUAUGAAUGAGCUUAGAAUGUUCAUCUUUGUUGCUUUACUGCAUACAUUUUUACUAAAAAGUAUGUUCUAAAUACUAUGUAGUAUGAUUAGUACACAGUAUGUAGAUUUCGGAUGUAGUAGACAAGACAGAUUUCAGACACGGCCAUUGUAAAUAGUCUUUCCAACUCAGUAUAUAAUGCUCUCCUGUCCAGUGUCCUCUGCUACCUUAAAGUCCCUCUCCCUUUCUCCAAGCGUCAGUGUGUGUCAGUGAGUGUUGUCUGUGAGGUGAUUUUGCUUAGCAGCUACUUCUAUCCACGGCACCACUGGGAACUUAGGACUGACCAGGGCUCCGAAAACAAGGUGAAAGAAAGAAAGAGAAGGAAAACCCCCAACGAGUUGAGGGAGAAACACAAAUCAGACCUUGGAUCAGUGUUGGAGGGCAGCUUCAUUUUACUCCAGCAGAAACCCAGGCUUUGUAUUCAGAGACUCAACCAGGCCUGGUGUCUGUCUGUAACAUCUGUAUUCAGAGACCCACCCAGGCCUGGUGUCUGUCUGUAACAUCUGUAUCCUGCUCUCUAUUUCUGCAGGGUAGAGUUCACCACUGACUUUACCUCUCUGUAAGCCGAUCGGACAGACAGACAGACAUGCAGGCAGACAGGGGUUGUAGUAAAAGCAUGGUAAAGUAUGAACAUAUGAUUUGCCCUAAUUCAUUAGGGUCGUCAUUGCCUGACCAUGCUAAAACUGAUGGAUGUGCCAUGCUUACCAUCAUCUAGUGACCUACCACCAUCUAGUGACCUACCACCAUCUAGUGACCUACCAUCGUGUAGUGACCUACCAUCAUCUAGUGACCUACCAUCGUGUAGUGACCUACCAUCAUCUAGUGACCUACCAUCAUCUAGUGACCUACCAUCGUGUAGUGACCUAGCAUCGUCUAGUGACCUACCAUCGUCUAGUGACCUACCAUCAUCUAUCGACCAACCAUCAUCUAUCGACCUACCACCAUCUAGUGACCUACCACCAUCUAGUGACCUACCAUCAUCUAGUGUCCUACCAUCUAGUGACCUACCAUCAUCUGGUGACCUACCAUCAUCUAGUGACCUACCAUCAUCUAGUGACCGACCAUCAUCUAGUGACCUACCAUCAUCUUGUGACCUACCAUCUAGUAACCUACCAUCUAGUCCCCUGGCCUUACACUUAUACCAGAUGUCGCAACUCCAUUCCUCGAGAGACCAGCAGACACUGCUGCCUUCAAGGACCCGUCCCAUAUCCUUCAUCCCUACAACACCACAUGGACGCAGCCCCUUCCCCUUCCCUGCUCCAUCUCCCCAGCUCCCCUGAGGCCAUUGCCAUGGUUCCCAGGUGUUAAGUACAAAUCAGGUGUUUCCCAAUGGUAGGUAAAGGUGUUGACUGGGACCUAACAGUCACCUGUGUGUCUCUAGUGAUCACCUCAGACUGCAGGCCAGAUGACAUUUCCCCCAUUUAAUACAACUCAGAUAGCAAUUCCCCAGUGAGUGCUACACUGCAUCACCAAACUCUUUUUGCUAGUUAGUUUGCAACUGGCUUGCUUGUGUGCUAAUCAAAAUUAAACAAUUAAUUGGCCAUUUUACUCACACCAUAUUCACUGUUCUGUGUUGGUUGUGUUUCUCCAUGCUGCGCUUAGCUGAGUUGGGCUGUGCUGGGAGAGACUAUAAAUACACUGCUGACCUGCAAAACAAAUAACCAAAAUCUAAAACGUAACCUAAUUUUAACCGAUUCUGAAAUGAAAUGUCAGUUUGCAGGUAAGUAGUAAGUAGUGUCCGUAUAGCUUUUUCUGUCUGGGCUGUACCAUCAUCUAGCUUUGCUGACCUAGGUUCUGUACUUUCAUCAUAAACCAGUUGUCGUUAACCAUCUGUGCAUGAAUGUAGACCAGAAUUGACGUUUAUAAACCAGCCUGUCCCAAUGUGUUUUAUCUUUUUCCUUGGCCAGGUGAGGGCAGCAGAGUGGACACUCAGAUUCGUAAACCUUUGUGAUUUUCCCAGGGUGCAACGGGAGCAGCUGGCAGCCAUCUUCCAGCUGCUGAAGGAGAACCAGGAGAUGUUUGGGGAGAUGUCAGAGGGAGACAUGGAGGAGCAACUCUACUCCAUCUAAACCCCUAGUCUACUCACAGUCGACUGUACUACGUCUAACUCUACUUUUCCCAAACUCUACUCUAUGUUAAUCCCACAUAAAACUGACAAUCAAGACCAAGGUGCAUUCACACGGUCCACUGGGUUUCAAAGGGGGUGUUGUUUCAAAGGUCCACUCUAUUUUGAGGCACAUACUCUUCUCUAAAGAUUCUGAGGUGAUAGCUAAUCAGGCUUUGGAUAGUUGGGCCUGAGUGAUUUGAUUGGUCUGGUAAAAUCUGAGGUUCUUAUACCGUAGACACCCAUGAAAGCCAACAGUUUCAGCAAGCCUCACAUCAAACACUUAUCUGGACAGAUCUUACUCCUUUCAGCUAUUCCUUGCCUUGCCUCGGCCGUAUCCUUAUCUCACCCUUUCCUAUGGAGCACCCUUUCCCUCUAGACCCCUCUGUUUGAACAAACACAUCAUUGGUGCGAACACAAACAUGUACGUUAGAUACUUCAACACGGCUUCUGCUGUUUAUUACUUUUAAAUACCAUUCAAAGCAAUAAACACUGUAUUUGAUACAA